UUUCAGAGACAGGCACGAAAUGGGGGGACACGACGAUCCGAGCGCCGACGCACGGAAACACGACCUCGCCCAGGGCGUCCCAUGGCACGGAGACCCGUUCACGCAGCCGGAGAGGCGGCGGCGGGGGGUGUGCGGGAGGGAGCGACACCUGAGAAAGAAGGGUGAUGAGCAGCUUCACAUUAUAUUGGAAAACUCUUCCAACCCUUAACUCUUGUUUGGGGACCUGGCCUAAUCGAAGUGCCGAUUGUAGGCAGAAACAGAAACUUGAAUCUCUUGCUGCAAAGCCGGUUAAAAGAGGCCCACGGGAGUAGGAGACACGGGCAGUGAAGCUCGUGAUGCGACUACUCUACAGGGCUUUUCAGAGGCGUCCUUAUGAGUUCUUCUGUUCGUUUUUUAAAGUGCAAAUUUAGCUAAACAACUUUCCGAACAGCACACAACCCAGGUAAUAUGGUUACCCCCCUCAUGUAAAAAUUCUUGGUGAUGCAUCACCUAAAAGAGAAUUCGUAAGAUUUCUGAUUGUGUAACAUAAACAGCGAACAUAACCAGGCUCAGGAACGCUUAAGUCCCCUUGUGUAAAUGCCCGAUUCCAUCGAUCAGAAAUAGUUUGUAGAGUAAACCUCAAUCACAGGGCCGCGCUCAGUGCCCUUUCCUGAACAGUAUCUCAACUUUCCUCCAGCCCCGAAGAAGAUAAACGGCAGCGUCGGUAUUUUGCUCUUUCCAAGGAAUAGACUGUCCUUUUCAGCCGACGGACGUCCUCAGGAAUGAGAUGUGUUUAGCGUUCGUAUGAGGAUAUUUUGGAAGACGGCGCAGGUCUGCCCUUCACAAUGACGAAAUUGCUCAUGGAUCCUUUCACCAUCCUCACACAAUUGCAGCUGUGUGUAUAUAGUUUGACGUACACAGGAGACACCUAGCAAAGCCCGAAACUAUAUUCUUUCUCGCCACGUCACCCUGGUAUAAAACUUUUUGGAAGUCAAGCACGUAUUUAUCAAUAGAAGAGAUGUUUGUCCAGUGUCACUCACAUCCUGUCAACUGUAUAUACAUUUACACCCUCUCGCCAAAACAUGCCUUCACCCCGCUGCUGACCGGCUGUCCGCCGUUCAAUCUCCAGUGAAGUCACG